rnacentral:lncRNA from 1 species
GUUAUUGACUUUUAGCCAAUAGAAAGAGAUGGGAAUUCAAUAAUUAUCCACAAAAUUCCAAAUCAUUGGUUCACCAAAAGAUCUAAGGCUGUUAUAUUAUUUCUUAAAAAGAUAAAAAAAAAAAGAAAGGAAAAACAACAAAUAUGGAUUAAACUAUGGUUUGUAAAUUGAACUUUGCAUGAAACCUUUAUCAUAAUGAUUUCACUACUCCCAUAUUUAUUUGACUAGAGUAGCACUAAUGACUUUCU